AGGAACUUAGGUUAAGUAAAUUUAGUAAACUAAUUGUCUUCAAAAUAAUAGAUGCAUUUAUUGCAGUUCCAG
rnacentral:tRNA from 1 species